rnacentral:rRNA from 1 species
GUGAACGCUGGCGGUAGGCCUAACACAUGCAAGUCGAACGGCAGCACAGGAGAGCUUGCUCUCUAGGUGGCGAGUGGCGGACGGGUGAGGAAUACAUCGGAAUCUGCCCAGUCGUGGGGGAUAACGUAGGGAAACUUACGCUAAUACCGCAUACGACCUUCGGGUGAAAGAGGGGGAUCGCAAGACCUCUCGCGAUUGGAUGAGCCGAUGUCGGAUUAGCUAGUUAGCGGGGUAAUGGCCCACCAAGGCGACGAUCCGUAGCUGGUCUGAGUGGAUGAUCAGCCACACUGGAACUGAGACACGGUCCAGACUCCUACGGGAGGCAGCAGUGGGGAAUAUUGGACAAUGGGCGCAAGCCUGAUCCAGCCAUACCGCGUGGGUGAAGAAGGCCUUCGGGUUGUAAAGCCCUUUUGUUGGGAAAGAAAUCUUUCAGGCUAAUACCCUGGGAGGAUGACGGUACCCAAAGAAUAAGCACCGGCUAACUUCGUG